AUUGAACGCUGGCGGCAGGCCUAACACAUGCAAGUCGAACGGUAACAGGAAGCAGCUUGCUGCUUCGCUGACGAGUGGCGGACGGGUGAGUAAUGUCUGGGAAGCUGCCUGAUGGAGGGGGAUAACUACUGGAAACGGUAGCUAAUACCGCAUAAUGUCGCAAGACCAAAGAGGGGGACCUUCGGGCCUCUGUCCAUCGUAUGUGCCCAGAUGGGAUUAGCUUGUUGGUGGGGUAACGGCUCACCAAGGCGACGAUCCCUACCUGGUCUGAGAGGAUGACCAGCCACACCGGAACUGAGACACGGUCCAGAGUCCUACGGGAGGCAGCAGUGGGGAAUAUUGCACAAUGGGCGCAAGCCUGAUGCAGCCAUGCCGCGUGUAUGAAGAAGGCCUUCGGGUUGUAAAGUACUUUCAGCGGGGAGGAAGGGAGUAAAGUUAAUACCUUAGCUCAUUGACGUUACCCGCAGAAGAAGCACCGGCUAACUCCGUG
rnacentral:rRNA from 1 species